CGCGUGGGAAUCUACCCCGGGGUGGGGAAUAACCGCUGGAAACGGCGGCUAAUACCGCAUACGCCUUGCGAGGGAAAGCUUUAGCGCCCUGGGAUGAGCCCGCGUCGGAUUAGCUUGUUGGUAAGGUAACGGCUUACCAAGGCGACGAUCCGUAGCUGGUCUGAGAGGAUGAUCAGCCACACUGGGACUGAGACACGGCCCAGACUCCUACGGGAGGCAGCAGUGGGGAAUAUUGGACAAUGGGGGCAACCCUGAUCCAGCCAUGCCGCGUGCGUGAAGAAGGCCUUAGGGUUGUAAAGCGCUUUC
rnacentral:rRNA from 1 species